rnacentral:tRNA from 1 species
GCCGAGGUGGCCCAGCGGUAAGGCGCGAGCCUGGAGAGCUCGUGGGGGGCAACCCCCGCGGGAGUUCGAAUCUCCCCCUCGGCG